CUCCACGAUAACAGACUGUCCCUGCUCGCAGCCUUCUGCUUCGUCAAAGCCUACACAGCAGCUGUCCAGUGUUGGAGUGCUGGUUUGUGCAGGAGAAGGCGGGUCGAGGUGGAGGCUUAACUGCAGCUACAACCCAGGAGAAAUCUCUG